UACGGAAGGCAGCAGUGGGGAAUAUUGCACAAUGGGCGCAAGCCUGAUGCAGCCAUGCCGCGUGUAUGAAGAAGGCCUUCGGGUUGUAAAGUACUUUCAGUCGUGAGGAAGGUGUUAAGGUUAAUAACCUUAGCAAUUGACGUUAGCGACAGAAGAAGCACCGGCUAACUCCGUGCCAGCAGCCGCGGUAAUACGGAGGGUGCGAGCGUUAAUCGGAAUUACUGGGCGUAAAGGGCACGCAGGCGGUUAAUUAAGUUGGAUGUGAAAUCCCCGGGCUUAACCUGGGAAUGGCAUUCAAGACUGGUUAGCUAGAGUCUUGUAGAGGGGGUAGAAUUCCAUGUGUAGCGGUGAAAUGCGUAGAGAUGUGGAGGAAUACCGGUGGGCGAAAGGCGGCCCCUGGGACAAAGACUGACGCUCAUGUGCGAAAGCGUGGGGAGCAAACAGGGAUUAGAUACC
rnacentral:rRNA from 1 species